rnacentral:rRNA from 1 species
GUCUACGUCCACGCUACCCUGAACAAGCCUGAUCCCACCUGAUCUCGGAAGCUAAGCAGGGUCGGGCCCAGUUAAUACUUGGAUGGAAGACCAUCUAGGAAGACCAGGUACUACAGGCA